rnacentral:rRNA from 1 species
AUUGAACGCUGGCGGCAGGCCUAACACAUGCAAGUCGAACGGUAACAGGAAGCAGCUUGCUGCUUCGCUGACGAGUGGCGGACGGGUGAGUAAUGUCUGGGAAGCUGCCUGAUGGAGGGGGAUAACUACUGGAAACGGUAGCUAAUACCGCAUAAUGUCGCAAGACCAAAGAGGGGGACCUUCGGGCCUCUUGCCAUCGGAUGUGCCCAGAUGGGAUUAGCUUGUUGGUGGGGUAACGGCUCACCAAGGCGGCGAUCCCUAGUUGGUCUGAGAGGAUGACCAGCCAACAUGGAAAGUAGGAAAGGUGCAGAAUACUACGGGAGGCAGCAGUGGGGAAUAUUGCACAAUGGGCGCAAGCCUGAUGCAGCCAUGCCGCGUGUAUGAAGAAGGCCUUCGGGUUGUAAAGUACUUUCAGCGGGGAGGAAGGGAGUAAAGUUAAUACCUGUGCUCAUUGACGUUACCCGCAGAAGAAGCACCGGCUAACUCCGUG